UUCUAUUAAUGAACUUGCUCACCAAAUAGACUCCACUUGUUAAGGUCUUGAAAAGAAUGGCUUAUUCACCACUUCUUCCAUCUAUAGCCUCUUAACUCCUACCAAUGAGUAAAUUCCUAAUUUCCAAUGGAUUUGGGAUUCCCCAACCUUAGGAAAAAUAAAAUUCUUCCUAUUAUUUUGUGCUCAUGAUCGUUUACCUAUGAAAAAUAUCUUUGAUGUUUGGAAAUUAUCAUAAAUGAUCUUUGUUUUCGAUGUCAUCUCAAGGUUGAGGGCGCUUAUGAUAUUCUUAUUGAUUGAACUAUAGUGUGUUUCUUUUGGGCCACUUGGAAUAUUUCAUUGGAUCAAUGUCCUCCAGCUCCCAUCAAAUAAUGGCUUGUCUUCUUAAGAGAUCUAUCUCACUCUCUACCUAACCCCUAUAUCAACUGGACUCUCUUUUACUCUUUUGCUAUUUGGUUCACCUUGAAUAAUCAAAAUCAUGCCUAUUUCAAUAACACCAUGUGUACUCCUUCACCUAAUCACCUUAUUCAAAUUGUGCGUGAGUUUUACUUCUUCACUGAUACUCACAUCUCUAGUAAUAAAUAUGUUAAUAUUAUGAUUAAAUGGUACCCUCCGUAGAAAGGCUGGUUUAAAUUAAAUAUUAAAGGUGCAUUCCAUUCUCACACUCUCCGAGGUGGUAUUGGAGGAGUUUUGUGAAAUCAUGAAGGUAAGUGGUGUUUGGGCUUCAAUGGUGCUACAACAGCUGUGACAUGCCUACAGAUGGAACUUAAAGCUCUCUAGGCGUGCGUUAAACUCUCUUACAUUCAUCACUUUCAAGCUCUUGAGGUGGAAACUGAUUCAGUUGAUCUUUUACAUUUGAUUAAUCAAACUAAUCCCCAAUUUUCUUGUCUUAUCAUGCAAUGCAGGUACUAUUUGAAGAAGCUGUUGUAUCCUCUGCUUCGCCACAACUUCAGGGAAGCAAAUAGAGUGCCUUAUCAACUAUCUAUGGAAGGAAAAAUAAGUUUGGAAACUACUCCUGUAGUGUUUUACUCCCAGAUAGUCCAUGAGGACUUGCAACUGCAUACUAUUUGUAGGAAAGUGUCUACAAUGGCUUGUACUACUCUUUCUAGGUCGGGUAAUCUUUGUGUAAUCAAAUAUAAUGUAG
rnacentral:lncRNA from 1 species